GACAACGUGUCCGAGUGGUUAAGGAGAUGGACUGCUAAUCCAUUGGGCUCUGCCCGCGCAGGUUCGAAUCCUGCCGUUGUCG
rnacentral:tRNA from 1 species